GAUGAACGCUAGCGACAGGCUUAACACAUGCAAGUCGAGGGGCAGCAUAAAAGUAGCAAUACUUUGGUGGCGACCGGCGCACGGGUGAGUAACGCGUAUGCAACCUACCUAUCAGAGGGGAAUAACCCGGCGAAAGUCGGACUAAUACCGCAUAAAACAGGGGCACCGCAUGGUGAUAUUUGUUAAAGAAAUUCGCUGAUAGAUGGGCAUGCGUUCCAUUAGGUAGUUGGUGAGGUAACGGCUCACCAAGCCGACGAUGGAUAGGGGAACUGAGAGGUUGGUCCCCCACACUGGUACUGAGACACGGACCAGACUCCUACGGGAGGCAGCAGUGAGGAAUAUUGGUCAAUGGGCGGGAGCCUGAACCAGCCAAGUCGCGUGAAGGAAGAAGGAUCUAUGGUUCGUAAACUUCUUUUGCAGGGGAAUAAAGUGCGGGACGUGUCCUGUUUUGUAUGUACCCUGAGAAUAAGGAUCGGCUAACUCCGUGCCAGCAGCCGCGGUAAACACGAG
rnacentral:rRNA from 1 species